AUUGAACGCUGGCGGAAUGCUUUACACAUGCAAGUCGAGCGGCAGCGCGGGGCAACCCGGCGGCGAGCGGCGAACGGGUGAGUAACAUAUCGGAACGUACCCAGUGGUGGGGGAUAACACAUCGAAAGAUGUGCUAAUACCGCAUACGACCUGAGGGUGAAAGGGGGGGAUCGCAAGACCUCUUGCCGUUGGAGCUGCCGAUAUCGGAUUAGCUAGUUGGUGAGGUAAAGGCUCACCAAGGCGACGAUCCGUAGCUGGUCUGAGAGGAUGAUCAGCCACACUGGAACUGAGACACGGUCCAGACUCCUACGGGAGGCAGCAGUGGGGAAUAUUGGACAAUGGGCGCAAGCCUGAUCCAGCCAUGCCGCGUGAGUGAAGAAGGCCCUCGGGUUGUAAAGCUCUUUUGUUGGGAAAGAAAAGCAGCCGGUUAAUACCCGGUUGUCAUGACGGUACCCAAAGAAUAAGCACCGGCUAACUUCGUGCCAGCAGCCGCCGUAAUAC
rnacentral:rRNA from 1 species